rnacentral:lncRNA from 1 species
CAGUGAUGGUUGUACAAAUUUGUGAAUAUACUAAAAACCACUGAAUUGUACACUUUUAAAGAAUGUGUUUUAUGUAUGUGAAUUAUAUCUUUUAGAAAGUUAUAUUUUAAAAAGAACUAUGUAUGAUUCAGCUAAAACCGGAGACUUUUUAAAGCUAAUUUGUUUCCUGGAAUCUCUCUACCUCUCCAAGCCUGGAAGAAGGAUUAACUGUCAUCUCACUGGAAGACUGUGUCUCUUUCUAGCUGUUUGUAGUGGCCUGUGCUGAAGUGUCUGCCCU